rnacentral:rRNA from 1 species
AGAGUUUGAUCCUGGCUCAGGAUGAACGCUAGGGGAGGCCUAAUACAUGCAAGUCGAACGGUAACAGAUCUUCGGAUGCUGACGAGUAGCGCACGGGUGAGUAACGCGUACAUAACCUACCUUUAACUGGGAGAUAGCCUUGGGAAACUGAGAAUAAUACCCCAUAACAUUAUGAUACCGCAUGGUAUUAUAAUUAAAGUGUUAGCGGUUAGAGAUGGAUGUGCGUGCCAUUAGAUUGUUGGUGAGGUAACGGCUCACCAAGUCGACGAUGGCUAGGGGGCGUGAGAGCGUGAUCCCCCACACGGGUACUGAGACACGGACCCGACUCCUACGGGAGGCAGCAGUAAGGAAUAUUGGACAAUGGACGAAAGUCUGAUCCAGCCAUCCCGCGUGCAGGAUGACGGCCCUAUGGGUUGUAAACUGCUUUUAUAGAAGAAGAAACGCCUGUAUUUAUAUAGGUCUGACGGUACUUUAUGAAUAAGCACCGGCUAACUCCGUGCCAGCAGCCGCGGUAAUACGGAGGGUGCAAGCGUUAUCCGGAAUUACUGGGUUUAAAGGGUGCGUAGGCGGUGCAUUAAGUCAGAGGUGAAAGGUUAUCGCUUAACGAUAAGAUUGCCUUUGAUACUGGUGCACUUGAAUCAGA